AUUGAACGCUGGCGGCAUGCCUUACACAUGCAAGUCGAACGGCAGCAUAGGAGCUUGCUCCUGAUGGCGAGUGGCGAACGGGUGAGUAAUACAUCGGAACGUGCCCUAGAGUGGGGGAUAACUAGUCGAAAGACUAGCUAAUACCGCAUACGAUCUACGGAUGAAAGUGGGGGAUCGCAAGACCUCAUGCUCCUGGAGCGGCCGAUAUCUGAUUAGCUAGUUGGUGGGGUAAAAGCUCACCAAGGCGACGAUCAGUAGCUGGUCUGAGAGGACGACCAGCCACACUGGGACUGAGACACGGCCCAGACUCCUACGGGAGGCAGCAGUGGGGAAUUUUGGAAAAUGGGGGCAACCCUGAUCCAGCAAUGCCGCGUGAGUGAAGAAGGCCUUCGGGUUGUAAAGCUCUUUUGUCAGGGAAGAAACGGUUCUGGAUAAUACCUGGGACUAAUGACGGUACCUGAAGAAUAAGCACCGGCUAACUACGUGCCAGCCGCCGCCGUAA
rnacentral:rRNA from 1 species